UACGAAGGGUGCAAGCGUUGCUCGGAAUUAUUGGGCGUAAAGCGCACGUAGGCGGCUUUGCAAGUCGGAUGUGAAAUCCCUCGGCUUAACCAAGGAAGUGCAUCCGAAACUGCAGAGCUUGAGUACUUAAGAGGAUCGUGGAAUUCCCGGUGUAGAGGUGAAAUUCGUAGAUAUCGGGAGGAACACCAGUGGCGAAGGCGGCGAUCUGGGAAGAUACUGACGCUGAGGUGCGAAAGCGUGGGGAGCAAACAGG
rnacentral:rRNA from 1 species